GUGCUUACUUUAGCAGCACAUAUACUAAAAUUGGAACAAUACAGAGAUUAGCAUGGCCCCUGUGCAAGGAUAACAACAACAAAAAGUAUGUGAAAGCUAUUACA